GGGCUCACCUCUUCCCAUCUCGAACAGAGAAGUUAAGCCCGCCUGCGCAGAUGGUACUGCAUUUAUGUGGGAGAGUAUGUCGUCGCCUUUC
rnacentral:rRNA from 1 species